CACAUAAACUGUUAAUAAAGGUCUAUAUGAUCAUAUAUAUCAGUGUAUAUAAAAUUCAUGUAUUAAUGUAUACAUACACAGUAUAUAUGCAUUUAUCAACGCGUAAGGGUGCAUGUUCAUGCGCAUAUAAAUGUAUAUAUACAUUGAUAAUUGUAUAUAACGGAUAGUAAGCAACUGUAUAUAUACAUGUAUAAAAAUAUCAAUAUAUACAUAUCGUAUAUAUAUACACAUUAGUCCAUACACCACGCAUAUAUGUGUGGUAUAUAUAUCUAUGAGUGUGAAUGUGAGUGAGUGUGAGUGUGAGUGUGAGUGAGUGUGAGUGUGAGUGUGAGUAUGAGUGUAAUAUAUAAAUCAGUGUAUAUAUAAGUUAACAACUGUAUAAACUGAUAAUAAGUGUAUAUAUGGUCAUAUACAUCAAUGUAUAUAGAAACGUUUAUAUUAGUGCAUUGUAUAUAAACAGUUAUGCACUUUACAUACAAACAUAUCAGUAUAUAUGCUCAUCGGAUAUAUAUAUAGAAAACACACGCACACACAUACAUCAAGGUUUAUUUUACACACUAAUAACUGUAAAUAUAACAGAUAACUAAUGUGUUGUAAGGUUAUAUGCAUUAGUAUAUAUAUACACUAAAAACAAUGCUAUAUAUAGCAAUACAUAAAUACAGAUACAAAUUGUGCUAAUAAAUGUAUAUAUCACAGAUAAUAACUAUAUACAUGGUCUUAUAUAUUAGUAUAUAAAAAAACCUUUUAUACAUAUGCUUAUGAGUGUGCAUUUAUAUAAACAUAUACGCUAAUAACAUUAUAAAUUGAUAAUAAGUGUUUAUAUGGUCAUAUAUAUCAGUGUAUAUAGAAAUGUAUGUAUGCACUAUCAAUAUGAAAAUGUGCAUGUAAGUACGCAUAGCAGUCUAUAUAUCAGUGAUAGCAAGUUUAUACAUACAUGCAUAAACAUAUCAGUAUAUACAUAUCGUAUGUACAUACACAUUGUAUGUAUAUAUAUAACCAGCUAAUAAGUGUUUAUAUGAUUAUAUAUAUAUUAGUGUAUCUAAACUGCAUGUAUUAGUGUAAACAUACAAAAUAUAUAGGCACUUAUCAAUGUACAAAAAUAAUAGCAAGCAACUAUAUACAUACACGUAUAAAUAUAUCAGUAUAUACAUAUCGUAUAUAUACAAACAUCAUAAACACAAAACAUAUGUGUAGUAUAUAUAUCGGUGAGUGAGUGUGAGUGUGAGUGUGACUUUGAGUAGGAGUGAGAGUGAGUGCGAGUGUGUGUUUGUGCGAAUGUCAGUGUCAGUGUCAAUGUAUGUCAGUGUGUGAGUGUGAGUGUGAGUGUGAGUGUGAGUGUGAGGGUGAGUGUAGUGUGUGAGUGUGUGUGAGUGUGAGUGUGAGUGUGUGUGUACAAGUGUGAGUGUGAGUGUAUGUGUAUGUAGUAUAUAAAUCAGUAUACAUAUAUGUCAAUAACUAUAUAAACUGAUAAUAAAUGUAAAAAUGAUAAUAUACAUCAAGGUAUAUAGAAAUAUAUAUAUUAAUGCACUGUAUAUAUACAGUUAUGUACUUUACACAUACACAUAUAUCCGUAUAUACACAUCGUAUAUAUACUGACAUCACACAGAUAUAUACACACAUAAAAAUGUAUUUUUUACACAUUAAUAACUGUAUAUGUAGCUGAUAACUAAUGUAUUGUACAGUUAAGAAAAAGUAAAUAAAAUUGCAAACCACAAGUAAAGCUCCAAAAAAUUCACUCCAUAUUUGCAAGAAAGACGCAAGAGUGUGUGUGUCAAGAAAAAGUUCAUUUUUGAAGCUUUACUUGUGGUUUGUAAUUUUAUUCACUCCAUAUUUGCAUAAAAGAAGGAAGAGCAGUACAAUACUAGAGAAGAAAGAACCAUUAAGCAAAUCAAGCUUGCAAGACCAAGAUCACAAAUAUCAAAGAACGUAAAGAGCUUAGCCUCGAUGAUAAGUUGCUUCCAUGCUUGUUGAUUUACAAACAAACUCGAUGAAGAUGAAGCUCAUCAAUAAUAAUAAAAACAAGUACACCUAAGAUAAAAAAUUUAGGUGGACUAUCACAAUUGGGUAUUUAGCAUACCCAAUUCAUCAAGGGAAAAAAAUUUUAUGCUUAAUUCAUACAAAAUAAUAUGGAAAUUCGCAUAGGCUUGUCAGAUUAGAGGUGAUAUCUAAACAAAUAAUCUCAAAAAUAAUCAAAAAGGAGGGGAGGGGAGGGGGGGGAUCUGUACAUUUACCUUCUUGGCUGCAACAGCCACCUAUGCAUUCAUAUACAUAUCAAUGUGAAUGUGAGUUUGAGAGUGUGUGUGGGUGUGAGUGUGUCAGUGUGUGCGUGUGUCAGUGUGUCAAUGUGUAUGUGUGUGUAUGUGUGUGAGUUUAUGUGAGUGUGUGUGAAUGUGAGUGUGAGUGAGUGUGAGUGUGAGUAUGAGUGUGUGUAUGUGUGUGUGUGUUACGAAAAAGUUACUUAAUAAAAUUGCAAACCACAAAUAAAGCUCAAGAAAAUUCACUCCCUAUUUGCAUGAAAGAAGAAAGAGUGUGUGUUAAGAAAAAGUUACUUAAUAAAGAUGCAAACCACAAGUAAAUCUCCAGAAAAUUCACUCUAGAAGAAAAAUUCACUCCAUAUUUGCAUGAAAGAAACAAGAGCAAUACUUUACUAGAGAUAUGUUCAUUUACCUUAUGAGCUGCAAUAGCCACCUGUGCAUUCAUAUACAUAUCAAUGUGCAUAUACGCUAAUAAUUGUAUAAACUGAUAAAAAGUGUCAAUAUGGUCAUAUAUAUCAGUGUAUAUAAAAAUGUAUAAACUGAAAAAAAGUGUCAAUAGGGUCAUAUAUAUCAGUGUAUAUAAAAAUGUACAUAUGCAUUAUCAAUGCGUAAGGGUGUAAGUGCGUACGCAUAUCAGUGUAUAUAUAACAGACAACAAGUUUAUACAUACACGCAUAAACAUAUCAGUAUAUACAUAUCGUAUAUAUACACAGUAUAUAUAUGAACUGCUAAUAUAUGUCAAUGUGGUUAAAAAUAUCAAUGUAUAUAAAAUGCAUCAUAGACAGUAUAUAUACACUUAUCAACGCAUAGGGGUAUAUAAUGAUUAUUGUAUAUAAUUGAUAGCAAGAAACUGUAUAUAUAUACCCAUAAAUAUAUCAAUAUAUACAUAUCGUAUAUAUAUAGACAUCAGUCCAUAUACAACACGCAAACAUAUGUAGUAUAUAUCAAUGAGUGUGAAUGUGAGUGUCAGUGCGUGAGUGAGUGUGAGUGUAAGUGUGUGUGAGUGAGUGUAUGUAUGUGAGUGUGAAUGUGAGUGUCAGUGUGUGAGUGUGAGUGUGAGUGUAUAAGUGUGUGUGUGUGUGAGUGUGAGUGUGAGUGUGAGUGUGUGUGUGUGGUGUGGGUGUGCGUAUGUUAAAAAAAAGUCAAUAAACUUACAAACCACAAGUAAAGCUCCAAAAAAUUCACUCUAUAUUUGCAUGAAAGAAGCAAGAGUGUGUGUGUCAAGAAAAAGUUACUUGAUAAAAUUACAAACCACAAGUAAAGCUCCUGAAAAUUCACUUCAUAUUUGCAUGAAAGAAGCAAGAGCAGUAAGUAAUAUACCAGAGAAGAAAGAACCAUUAAGCAAAUCAAGCUUGCAAGACCAAGAUCUCAAAUAUCGAAUAACGUAAAGAGAUCCGCCUUGAUGAUAAGUUACUUUCAUAUUUGCCGAUUUACACGUAAACUCGAUAGAGAUGAAGCACAUCAAUGAUAACAAAAACAAGUACAAAUAAGAAAAAAAAAAUAGAUGGACUACUACAAUUGGGUAUUUUAGCCUACCCAAUUCAUCAAGAGAAGAAACUCAUUCUUGCGCUUAAUUCUAUACAAAUUAAUAUGGAAUUUCGCCAAGGUUUAUCUGAUUAGAGGUGAUAGCCAGAAGAAUUAAUCUUCAUCUUUAAUGCUUGAUUUUAUCAUAGUUUAGAAAAUUACAUAGGGAAGGAAAAAUCAUACACAAGGACGAUAAUGAUUCGAAGGGUAAGAAUUGAGAGGAAAAUAAUAAAAAAGGGCGAAGGGGGGAGGGAGGGGGAUCAGUUUAUUUACCUUAUUGGCGUCAACAUUCAUUUGUGCAUUCAUAAACAUAUCAACAUACAUCUACAUUAAAAACUGCGUAAACUAGUAAAAAGUAUCAAUAUAGCCACAUAUAUCAGUGUAUUUAAAAAUGUAAAUGUAUGUAUGUAAUAUCAAUGCUUAAGGGUGCAUGUGCGUACACAUAUCAAUAUAUAUAUAAUUGAUAGCAAGUUUAUACAUACAUGCAGAAACAUAUCAGUAUAUACAAAUCAUAUAUAUACACACUGUAUACAUACACAGUAUAUAUCCACUUAUCAACGCGUAAGGGUGCAUGUGAGUGCGCAUAUCAAUGUAUAUAACAGAUAGCAAGCAAUUGUAUCCAUACACAACACGCAGACAUGUGUAGUAUCUAUAUAUGUGAGUGUGAGUGUAGUAUAUAAAUCAAUGUAUAUAUGCGUUAAUAGCUGCAUAAACUGAUAAUAAGUGUAUAUAUGAUCAUAUAUAUCAAUGUAUAAAAAAAUUUAUACAUUAAUGUACUGUAUAUAAAACUUUAUGCACUUUACACAUACACAUAUAUCAAAUAUAUACACAUCGUAUAUAUACAGAUAUCACACACACACACAUAUCAAUGUAUUUUUUACACACUAAUAACUGUAUAUAAUACAGAUAACUAAUGCAUUGUAUGCUUUAUACACAUCAAUAUAUAUGCAUUGAAAAAAAUGAUGUAUAUUGCUAUACAUAUAUACACACAAAUUGAGCUAAUAACUGUAUACAUCACAGAUAAUAAGUACAUACAUGAUCUUAUACAUUAGUGCAUAUAUAAACCCUUUAUAAAUAUGCAUAUGAGUGUGCGUAUAUACAUUUCAGUGUACAUAUACACUCAUUACUGUAUAAACAAAUAAUAAAUUUCUAUAUGAUCAUAUAUAUCAGUAUAUAUAGAAAUGUAUGUAUGCACUAUCAAUGCGUAAAGGUGCAUAUGCGUCGCAUAUCAGUGUACAUAUAACUAAUAGCAAGCUUAUAUAUACAUGUAUAAACAUAUCAAUAUAUACAUAUCCUUUAUAUGCACAUAUCCUUUAUAUGCACACUGAAUAUAUCAGUAUAUACAUGUCGUUUAUAUGUACAUUGUGAGUGUGAGAGCGAGUGUGAGUGUGAAUGUGUGUGUGAGUGUGUGUGUGAGUGAGUGUGAGUUUUAGUUUGUGUGUGUGAGUGUGUGCAUGUGUGUGUGUGUGUGAGUGUGUGGUGUGUGUUGUGUGUGUGUAUGUGUGCAUGUUAAGAAAAAGUGACCAAAUAAAAUUGUAAACCACAAGUAAGGCUCUAGAAAAUUUACUUCGUAUUUGCAUGUUAGAGGCAAGAGCAAUACUAUACUACAGAAGAAAGAACCAUUAAGCAAAUCAAGCUUUCAAGUUCAAGAUCUCAAAUAUCAAAAAACGUAAAGAGAUCCGCCUCGAUGAUAAGUUGCAUUCAUGCUUGUUGAAUUACAAACAAACUCAAUGAAGAUAAAGCUCAUCAACAAUAAUAAAAACAAGUACAGAUAUAUGAUAAAAACUUUAGAUGGACUAUCACAAUUGGGUAUUUUAGCAUACCUAAUACAUCAAGAGAAGAAACCCAUUCUUAUGCCUAAUACAUCAAGAGAAGAAACCCAUUCAAUGUACAUCUACGCUAAUAAUUGUAUAAACUGAUAAAAAGUGUAUAUAUGGUCAUAAACAUCGAUGUAUAUAAAAAUGUAUAUAUGCACUAUUAAUGCGUAAGGGUGCAUGUGCGUACGCAUAUCAAUGUAUAUAUAACAGACAACAAGUUUAUACAUACACGUAUAAACAUAUCAGUAUAUACAUAUCGUAUAUAUACACACUGUGUAUAUAUAAACUGUCAAUAUAUGUCCUUAUGGUCAUAUAUAUCAGUGUAUAAAAUAAUGCAUGUAUUAGUGUAUACAUACACAGUAUAUAUGCACUUAUCAACGCGUAAAGGUGCAUAUACGUGCAUAUAUUAGUGCAUACAUAUAUUGAUAAUUGUAUAUAACUGAUAACAAGCAAUUGUGUACAUACACAACAAUAUCAGUAUAUACAUAUCGUAUUAUAUAUACACACAUCAGUCCAUACACACCACGCAUAUGUGUAGUAUAUAUAUCUGUGAGUGUGAGUGUGAGUGUGAGUGUGAGUGUGAGUGUGAGUGUGAGUGUGAGUGUAUGUGCGAGUGCCAGUGUGUGUGUGGGUGAGUGUGAGUGCGAGUGUGUGUAGUAUAUAUAUAUGUUAAUAACUGUAUAAACUGAUAAAUACCGUAUAUAUCGUCAUAUAUACUAAUGUAUAUAUUAAUGUAUUAUAUAUAUACAAAUACGCACUUCAAACAUACACACAUAUCAGUAUAUACACAGCGUAUAUAUACAAACAUCACACGCAUACAUACACACAUAUCAAUGUAUUUUUUACACACUAAUAACUAUAUAUGUAGCAGAUAACUAAUGUAUUGUAUGGUUAUAUGCAUCAGUAUGUAUAUAUAUACUGAAAACAAUGGUCUAUAUUGCUAUACAUCAAUUCGUAUAUAAAUUGAGCGAAUAACUGUAUAUAUCACUGAUAAUAAGUAUAUACAUGAUCUUUUACAUAAGUGUACAUAUAAACCCUUUAUACAUAUGCAUAUGAAUGUGCGUAUAUACAUUUCAUUGUACAUAUACACUAAUAACUGUAUAAACUGAUAAUAAGUGUCAUAUAUGGUCAUAUAUAUCAGUGUAUAUAGAAAUGAAUGUAUGCACUAUCAAUACGUGAGGGUGCCCAUGUGUGUCGCAUAUUAGUGCAUAUAUAACUGAUAGCAAGAUUAUACAUAUACAUACACAUAUCAAUAAAUACAUAUCAUUUAACGCACACCGUAUAUACAUAUAAACUACUAAUAAUAGUCAACAUGGUCAAAUAUAUCAGUGUAUAUAAAAUGCAUGUAUUAGUGUAUACAUACACAUAUAUGCACUUAUCCACGCGUUAGGGUACAUGUGCGUACGCAUAACAGUGCAUAUAUACAUCGAUAAUUGUAUAUAACUGAUAGCAAGCAACUGUAUACAUAUACGUAAAAACAUAUGUAUAUACAUAUCGUAAAUAUACACACAUCAGUCCAUACACACCACGCAUAUGUGUAGUAUACAUAUCUGUGAGUGUCAGUGUCAGUGUUAGUGUCGGUGUGAGUGUGAGUGUGAGUGUGUGAGUGUGUGUUUGUGUAUAUAUGUGUGUCUGUAGUAUAUAAAUCAAUGAACAUAUAGGUUACUAACCGUAUAAACUGAUAAUAAGUAUAUAUAUGGUCAAAUACAUCAAUGUAUAUAUAAAUGUAUAUAUUUUAACACACUAAUAAAUGUAUAUAUACAAUUAUGCAUUUUACACACUAUGCACUAUACACACAAACAUAUCAAUAUAUACUCAUCGCAUCUAUACAGCAUCGCACACAAACAUCAAUAUUAUUUUUACACACUAAUAACUAUAUAUAUAGUUGAUAACAAAUGUGCGAGUGUGAGUGUGAGUGUGAGUGUGAGUGUGAGAGUAUGUGUGUAGUAUAUAAAUCAGUGUACAUAUAUGUUAAUAAAUUUAUAAACUAAUAAUAAGUGCAUGUAUGGUCAUAUACAUCAAUGUAUAUAGAAAUAUAAACAUUAAAUGCAUUGUAUAUAUACAGUUAUUUACACUGUAUAAAACAGUGUACAUAUACGUUAAUAAAUUUAUAAACUAAUAAUAAAUGUAUAUAUGGUCAUAUACAUCAAUGCAUAUAGAAAUCUAAACAUUAAAUGUAUUGUAUAUAUACAGUUAUUUAUACAUACACAAAAAUCCGUACAUACACUUCGUAUAUAUACAGACAACACGCACAUAUCAAUGUACUUUUACACACUAGUAACUGUACAUAUAACCGAUAACUAAUGUAUUCUAUGCUUAUAUACAUCAAUACGUAAACAUAUAGAGCUAAUAACUAUAUAUAUCACUGAUAAUAAGUAUAUACAUGGUCUUAUACAUUAGUGUGAGUGUGAGUGUGAGAGUAGUAUGUGUGUGUGGUGUGUGUGUGUGUGAAAAGAAAAAGUUAAUAAAAUUGCAAACCACAAGUCAAGCUCCAGAAAAUUCACUCCAUAUUUGCAUGGAUGAAGCAAAAGUGUGUGUUAAGAAAAAGUUAAUAAAAUUGCAAACCACAAGUAAAGCUCCAGAAAUUUCACUCCAUAUUUGCAUGAAAGAAGCAAAAGCAGACUAUAAUAGAGAAGAAAUAACCAUCAAGACGAUCAAGCUUGCAAUAUCAAGAUCUCAAAUAUUGAAUAUCGUCAAGAGAUCCACCUCUAUGAUAAGUUACUUUCAUGCUUGUUGAUUUACAAGAAAACUCAAUGAAGAUGAAGCUCAUCAAUAAUAAUGAAAACAAGUACAAAUAAGAUAAAAAAUUUACAUGGACUAUCACAAUAGGGUAUUUAGCAUACCCAAUUCACCAAGAGAAGAAACCCAUUCUUAUGCCUAAUUCUACACAAAGUAAUAAGGAAUUGCGC
rnacentral:lncRNA from 1 species